AGCUGGUCCAAUGGUAGUGGGUUAUCAGAACUUAUUAACAUUAGUUUCACUAAAAUUGGUAUUCAACUCCCUACUGUUAAAUUUGGCUACAAA
rnacentral:Y_RNA from 1 species